CAAUAGCGUAUAUUAAAGUUGUUGCAGUUAAAAAGCUCGUAGUUGGACCUUGGACCUGGACAGGCGGUCCGCCUCACGGCGAGUACUGUCUUGCUGGGUCUUUCCUCUUGGUGAUCUGUUGUUUCGGCAGCAGGGAACCAGGACCUUUACUUUGAAAAAAUUAGAGUGUUCAAAGCAGGCUCGACGUCGGAAUAUAUUAGCAUGGAAUAAUAAAAUAGGACGUGCGGUUCUAUUUUGUUGGUUUUUGGAAUCGCCGUAAUGAUUAAUAGGGACAGUCGGGGGCAUUAGUACUCACAUGCUAGAGGUGAAAUUCUUGGAUUUUGUGAAGACUAACUUCUGCGAAAGCAUUUGCCAAGGAUGUUUUCAUUAA
rnacentral:rRNA from 1 species